rnacentral:rRNA from 1 species
CCUACGGGUGGCAGCAGUGAGGAAUAUUGGUCAAUGGCCGGAAGGCUGAACCAGCCAAGCCGCGUGAAGGACGAAGGUGCCAAGCAUUGUAAACUUCUUUUGUCAAGGGACAAAAUCAGGCUCGAGAGCCUGACCGAGGGUACUUGAAGAAAAAGCAUCGGCUAACUCCGUGCCAGCAGCCGCGGUAAUACGGAGGAUGCGAGCGUUAUCCGGAUUUAUUGGGUUUAAAGGGAGCGUAGAUGGGUUGUUAAGUCAGUUGUGAAAGUUUGGGGGUCAAGCGGAAAAUUGCAAUUGAUAGUGGCAGUCUUGAGGACAGUUGAGGUAGGCGGAAUGCGUGGUGUAGCGGUGAAAUGCGUAGAUAUCACGAAGAACUCCGAUUGCGGGGGGAGCUUACGAAACUGCCACUGACAUUGAUGCUCGAAAGUGUGGGUAUCAAACAGGAUUAGAUACCCUUGUAGUG